CUCCACGAACUGAACAAACUUUCAAUACAGUUAUAAACGGCUGUGCUAUGGUUCCCUGCAUGUGCGUUUGUUUUGAACAGGUGAAUGACGAACUCGGAGAUAUAUAUUUGGUCCCAGCCAAACUUUUGUCACUAUACUCGCUGCUUACAUGACACCAGAUUUCAGAAUAACCUUGCCUUUUGAAACUACGAUUUCUAAAGCAAUUUUCUUCUUCUGAUGUGAACGAGUAGAUAAGCUAUGAAUGUUUUGAGAAUAUGUACCCUCGUCUCGACAUUCAUAACUCAUC